rnacentral:rRNA from 1 species
UACGUAGGUGGCAAGCGUUGUCCGGAUUUACUGGGCGUAAAGAGCGCGCAGGCGGUCAUUCAAGUCGAGUGUGAAAGCCCCCCGGCUCAACUGGGGAGGGUCACUCGAUACUGUUUGACUCGAAGGCGGGAGAGGGAAGUGGAAUUCCCGGUGUAGUGGUGAAAUGCGUAGAUAUCGGGAGGAACACCAGUGGCGAAGGCGACUUCCUGGCCUGUUCUUGACGCUGAGGCGCGAAAGCUAGGGUAGCAAACGGGG